AUCCAUAGCAUUCUAAGCUUAACAGGGUUGGGCCUGGUUAGUACUUGGAUGGGAGACCACCUAGGAAGACCAGGUACUGUAGGUG
rnacentral:rRNA from 1 species